rnacentral:lncRNA from 1 species
ACAACAACUUUUUGAUAAUGUUAAUCAAAAAAUAGAUGUUAUCAACUCCUUGGAUCAUUAUAGCAAAAAUAUUCAUGCUGCUGCCAAUACCUAAUAGAUUGGCCAUGGAACGAGUUUGUCAAAAAUGGAAAGAAGCCUGUAAACUAGAUUGGUAUGACAUUAAAAAAUACAAAUGUAAUCAUUCAAUCGGUCGCGCUUAUGAUGACCAGUUGCUGACACAAUCAUAUGUCGAAAAAUUAUUAUUACAAUGUAGUAUUUAUUUAACUGAAUUGUCUUUUUUAAAAAUUUGCACCUCAAGUAUCAUGCCAAUGAUUGGUGAGAAUUGCAAAUACUUGACGAGACUUGAAUCUGUUCAUAACGGUGAAUUAAAAACCAAUGCCAAUGACUACAUUGAAACGUUUACAAAAUUGAAAAAAUUAAAAUUUAUUAACAUACAAUUAAUUCAUAUGGAUUGGUGUCUCAGAAGAAAGUUUCCUUGGGAAACAAUCAAUUAUCUUCCAGAAGAAAUAAAUGAAAUUCAUUUAAUCCAUGAAGACCACUUAUAUUCCAGAAACCAGUGUUUUUCGAUUCAAAAAAAUUCAAAAAUCUUCACAGUUUGACAUUGAGUGCGGCUGCACUUUAAACGAAAUUUUUUAAGGAAUGUCAGAAAAAACAUCACUUAUUUAUCUCGACCUUAUAAAUUUCCGUGUCACCAAAAAAUGCUUAUUUAAUAUUGGUCAUGUAUUUACUAAAUUUGUAAACUCGGAGCAUAUCAGCAUUACAAUUCACAAAUUAACUUUGAAUGUCUUCACUUUUUAUUUUUUAAUACAUGUAAAAAUAUAAGAUAUCUUGACGUACCAUCGUGGUACAAUCAGGAUAAAUUUGAGAUUUCAAUUGAAAACUCGAAAAACCUUAAGAACUUGGAGCAUCUGACUAUUACUUGGAAACUUACUGAUAAAAUUGCAAAUCAACUUGUUAAAUAUUACAAGAAUUUUUGACAACGUCCAUAGACGAUACAAUAAAAACUGUUCUGCAAAAAUUGACAAAACUAAAAAAUCUUGAAUGUUUGAAAGUUAGACACGUACUUGAUUUCGAUGCUAAAACUAUAAUUGCAAUAUCAAAUAAUUGUAGAAAACUUAAAAUUCUGGAAAUAAAUGGCGGUAGUAUUAUGAUUUUGGCUCUUAGCCAACCUCACCUUCCAUCGGUUCUUAAUUAUUCAAUAAAAUAGCAUUAUCUUGAACAAUUAAAAUUGCCAUUGAUAACCAUGAAUGAAUUUCACGAGAGUAGUAUUAUUGCUUUCGUUAAUACUUGCAAAAAUUUGACAAAACUGGAUAUAAGAAAUUGCUGGGAUAUUAUUGAAACAAUUCUCUUAAUGCUUUAACCAACUUUCAAUCAUUAAAAAAAAAUAAAGGUUGAUUAUAUGGAUAAUGUAACAGACAAUUUUAUCUCCAAAUUAAAAGGAAUAAAAUGUUUCGAUCGUAGCGGUUGCAAAAGAAUUACUGACGCUGGUCUCAUUCAAUUGAUAAAUAAUUAUUGUCCUGAUCUUGAACAUCUUGAUCUCUACGAAACCCAUAUUACGACAUGAUGUAUGUUCGAUACUAAUAUAAAUUAUUUGUUGUCUAAGAAAGAUGAAGUAUUCUCAAAUUCAUCAAAUUAAAAAACCACAAUGCUGAAUAAUAUUGUUA